UACGUAGGGUGCAAGCGUUGUCCGGAAUUAUUGGGCGUAAAGAGCUCGUAGGUGGCUCGGUAAGUCGGGUGUGAAAUUUCGAGGCUCAACCUCGAGACGCCAACUGAUACUGCUGUGGCUAGAGUCCGGUAGGGGAGCGUGGAAUUCCUGGUGUAGCGGUGAAAUGCGCAGAUAUCAGGAGGAACACCAGCGGCGAAGGCGGCGCUCUGGGCCGGUACUGACACUGAGGAGCGAAAGCGUGGGGAUCAAACAGG
rnacentral:rRNA from 1 species